rnacentral:rRNA from 1 species
UACAGAGGUCCCAAGCGUUGUUCGGAUUCACUGGGCGUAAAGGGUGCGUAGGUGGCUAGGUAAGUCGGAUGUGAAAUCUCGGAGCUCAACUCCGAAACUGCAUUGGAAACUGCCUGGCUCGAGGGUUGGAGGGGGGACUGGAAUACUUGGUGUAGCAGUGAAAUGCGUAGAUAUCAAGUGGAACACCAGUGGCGAAGGCGAGUCCCUGGACAACUCCUGACACUGAGGCACGAAAGCUAGGGGAGCAAAC